rnacentral:rRNA from 1 species
CACAGAGGGUGCGAGCGUUAAUCGGAAUUACUGGGCGUAAAGCGUGCGUAGACGGUUAUUUAAGUCGGGUGUGAAAGCCCCGGGCUCAACCUGGGAAUUGCAUUCGAGACUGAAUAGCUAGGGUACGGUAGAGGGAAGUGGAAUUUCCGGUGUAGCGGUGAAAUGCGUAGAUAUCGGAAGGAACAUCAGUGGCGAAGGCGGAUCUCUGGGCCAUUACUGACGCUGAGGAGCGAAAGCGUGGGGAGCGAACAGG